rnacentral:rRNA from 1 species
UACAGAGGUGCCAAGCGUUAGGCGGAAUCACUGGGCUUAAAGCGCGUGUAGGUGGGUCGUUAAGUGUCCGCGUGAAAUCCCACGGCUCAACCGUGGAACUGCCGGGCAUACUGGCGAUCUUGAGGCAUUCAGGGGCGAGCGGAACAAAUGGUGGAGCGGUGAAAUGCGUAGAUAUCAUUUGGAACGCCAAUGGUGAAAACAACUCGCUGGGGGUGUGCUGACGCUGAGACACGAAAGCCAGGGGAGCGAACGGG